CCCCUCUCAGGAUCGCACUUGGAGAGUUUCCAGUAUUCUACCACUCUCGGCUAGGAGAGGGAGAGUCAAGCAGAGGCCUACCCAUUCCAUUCCUAACUUGGGAAAUGGCUAGCAAGUGGAAGGCAAUUUGCUACAAGU